rnacentral:rRNA from 1 species
UACAGGGGGUGCAAACGUUGCUCGGAAUUAUUGGGCGUAAAGCGCACGUAGGCGGUCUGUUAUGUCGGAUGUGAAAGCCCUUUGGCUCAACUGAGGAAGUGCAUCCGAAACUGGCAGGCUGGAGUACGUAAGAGGGUCGCGGAAUUCCCGGUGUAGAGGUGAAAUUCGUAGAUAUCGGGAGGAACACCGGUGGCGAAGGCGGCGACCUGGGACGAUACUGACGCUGAGGUG